CUUUUAAAGCUCUUCCUUUGUCAGAUGCGAUGUGUGCCAAAAGGAUGUCCCAGUGGCGCUCAUAAGCUUUCACAAUUGUAGCCUUGAUGCCAAAAUAAAGACCAACAUAGGGGACGAUUACAAGAUUAAAGUUUGGAACUACAAGAUGCAUAGAUGUCUUUUUACUCUUCUCGGGCAUCUAGAUUAUAUUCGUCCCGUGCAAUCUCACUUUUUUUAUGCUUGAAGCUUUGUUGAAAGAUUUGUACAAUGAUGUAAGUUUUAUAAUGGUCUAUGCUAC